GAUCCUGGCUCAGAUUGAACGCUGGCGGCAGGCUUAACACAUGCAAGUCGAACGGUAACAUAAAGAAGCUUGCUUCUUUGAUGACGAGUGGCGGACGGGUGAGUAAUGCUUGGGAAUCUAGCUUAUGGAGGGGGGAUAACUACGGGGAAACUGUAGCUAAUACCGCGUAAUAUCGAAAGAUUAAAGUGUGGGACCUUCGGGCCACAUGCCAUAGGAUGAGCCCAAGUGGGAUUAGGUAGUUGGUGAGGUAAAGG
rnacentral:rRNA from 1 species